rnacentral:lncRNA from 1 species
CAAGUGUUCUCUCCCCGUCUCACUAAACAGCAACCAAAAUAGCCCUGUCAGUUCGAAUAGUCAGAGUUUGGUGGUGAAACGAAGUGAGUGCUUCAGUUAACUGAAUUAGAAACCUCUGGUUAGCAUUUUUAAAUAAUAUUUAAAUAAAUCAGGGUUAACAUAUGAAGUGCGCCGUGGGUACUUAACUUGGAUAAACUGGAAUCUGCCAAACCAUCUCGAUUAAUCUGUAUUUAUAUACAGUUAAUCAGGUAAAUACAGUUUGGAAAAGGUUUGUCUUCAGCCAGCUUCUUAAAAAUAUUGGAGUUUACUUCUUACCGACACAGCAACUGCUCCUGCCGCAAGAGCCAGCCUUUGGAUACCCCCUCGGUUUCCUCAGUCACCGCGGAACAGACACAUUACCACGUACUGUAUGUCAUCAGCUGUUUGCCCCUAUUGCAUUUCAAGCCUGAAGUAAAAUCAGAAGAUGACCUAAGAUAUUUCCAUAAUUAUUUUCUUUUAUCACCCCUGAUUCCUCUUCUUCAGUGUUAGACCUGUCACGACCCAUGUGGGUGACAUACAUCGUCCGUCCAUGAGCGGAACGCUAAAUAUCCUGUUACAAUUCCUGGAGGAUGUAUACUCCUUAGUGUGGAUUUCAGAGGCCCUUUACAAGAAAUAUCUAGAAGUCUGAUACCAUGAAGAGGUUCCUGAAUUUACAGAUUGCAACAGACACUUGGUUUAAGGAGUGAGCAAAGCAGAUGUCUGUCUGUCUGUCUGAGAAGUACAUCAUGAGCCCGUUCUGUGGGAUGGCUUCCAUUCCUCCCAGCUGGACCGAGGCACGAUUCAUUCCACGUUGCAUCUUUCAUCCUGUCCUUCUUGGUGGUGAAGCUGGGAUUGCCCCGUUAGGCACGCGAGCCAAAAAAAGACACAAUUUAUUUGUAGUCGGUGAAAGACUCAAGCAAGUUUUAAGAGGAUGAAGACAGGAUCAGAGUGAAAUGUCAGAGGAAGCCCUGCGCACGGAGCUGAGCUAAUGCCAGGCACCAGAGACUGUUUUAAUUUCUGUACUGAAGAGGGCAACCCUGGCAUCUGAAGCUGUGUGUGCUGCAACCAGAGGCUGAAAAGGAACAAAACCGAUGAGACAACUGGCAAGUUACCCCGUGACCCCGAGGAGUGUGUGAACGAAGAGAGCAGUGUUUCCAACCAUCCAAACCACCAGGGUGUUUUCAUCGCCGCAGACGGGGCUGUGCCUGUGAUCCACAAAGUCAAGGAAGGGAGACAGCCUGCCACAGGACACAAAAGCUCUUUGCAGGUAGGAGAUGAAGAAAUGGAUAAAUUGAUAGUGAGAAAUAGGCAAGAAGGUUACAGAAUGUGAUACCGUGUCUUGUGCAGCUACUGAUGUGUGUCGAACGAAAUCAGGGCU